rnacentral:tRNA from 1 species
GGCCUGUUAGCUCAGCUGGUUAUAGCGUGUAGCUAAUAACGCCAAGGGCAUGGGUUCGAUCCCCACAUGGGCCA